rnacentral:tRNA from 1 species
GUGAUGUAGCCAAGUGGUAAGGCAACGGUCUGCAAAACCGUCAUUCACCAGUUCAAAUCUGGUCAUCAC